CCUACGGGAGGCAGCAGUGGGGGAUAUUGCACAAUGGGGGAAACCCUGAUGCAGCGACGCCGCGUGUGGGAAGACGGUCCUCUGGAUUGUAAACCAUUGUCGCCAGGGACGAAGAUGACGGUACCUGGGGAGGAAGCUCCGGCUAACUACGUGCCAGCAGCCGCGGUAAUACGUAGGGAGCAAGCGUUGUCCGGAAUUACUGGGUGAAAGGGGAGCGGAGGCGGGGUGGCAAGUUGGGUGUAAAAUCUACGGGCUCAACUGGUAGCCGCACUCAAAACUGCUAUGCUUGAGUGAAGUAGAGGCAGGCGGAAUUCCUAGUGUAGCGGUGAAAUGCGUAGAUAUUAGGAGGAACACCAGUGGCGAAGGCGGCCUGCUGGGCUUUUACUGACGCUGAGGCUCGAAAGUGUGGGGAGCAAACAGGAUUAGAUACCCGAGUAGUC
rnacentral:rRNA from 1 species